UGUAAGUCGAGCGGACCUUUCGGGGUCAGCGGCGGACGGGUGAGUAACACGUGGGCAAUCUGCCCGAUACUCUGGGAUAACGCUUGGAAACGAGUGCUAAUACCGGAUGGUCUUCUUGGUCGCAUGGCCGAGAAGGAAAAGACGCGUUCGCGUCGGUGUCGGAUGAGCCCGCGGCGCACUAGCUAGUUGGUGAGGUAACGGCCCACCAAGGCGACGAUGCGUAGCCGACCUGAGAGGGUGACCGGCCACACUGGGACUGAGACACGGCCCAGACUCCUACGGGAGGCAGCAGUAGGGAAUCUUCCACAAUGGGCGAAAGCCUGAUGGAGCAACGCCGCGUGAGUGAUGAAGGCCUUCGGGUUGUAAAACUCUGUCAUUCGGGACGAACCGGAGUCUGAGGAAAUGCAGACUCUCUGACGAUACCGGAGGAGGAAGCCCCGGCUAACUACGUGCCAGCAGCCGCGGUAAUACGUAGGGGGCAAGCGUUGUCCGGAUUCACUGGGCGUAAAGCGCGCGCAGGCGGUGAUGUAAGUCUGAGGUGAAAACCCGAAGCUCAACUUCGGGACUGCCUUGGAUACUGCGUCACUUGAGGAUAGGAGAGG
rnacentral:rRNA from 1 species